rnacentral:rRNA from 1 species
UACGUAGGGGGGCAAGCGUUGUCCGGAUUUAUUGGGCGUAAAGAGCGUGUAGGCGGCCAGAUAGGUCCGUUGUGAAAACUGGAGGCUUAACCUCCAGCGGUCGAUGGAAACCAUCUGGCUAGAGUCCGGAAGAGGAGAGUGGAAUUCCUGGUGUAGCGGUGAAAUGCGUAGAUAUCAGGAGGAACACCGGUGGCGAAGGCGCACAUCUGGCCCGAUACUGACGCUGAGGCGCGAAAGCUAGGGGAGCAAACGGG